rnacentral:rRNA from 1 species
AUUGAACGCUUGCGGCAUGCCUUACACAUGCAAGUCGAACGGUAACAGGUCUUCGGAUGCUGACGAGUGGCGAACGGGUGAGUAAUACAUCGGAACGUGCCUAGUAGUGGGGGAUAACUACUCGAAAGAGUGGCUAAUACCGCAUGAGAUCUACGGAUGAAAGCAGGGGAUCGCAAGACCUUGUGCUACUAGAGCGGCCGAUGGCAGAUUAGGUAGUUGGUGGGAUAAAAGCUUACCAAGCCGACGAUCUGUAGCUGGUCUGAGAGGACGAUCAGCCACACGGGGACUGAGAAACGGACCAGACUCCUACGGGAGGCAGCAGUGGGGAAUUUUGGACAAGGGGCGCAAGCCUGAUCCAGCAAUGCCGCGUGCAGGAUGGAGGCCUUCGGGUUGUAAACUGCUUUUGUACGGAACGAAAAGCCCCGGGUUAAUACCCUGGGGUCAUGACGGUACCGUAAGAAUAAGCACCGGCUAACUACGUGCCAGCCGCCGCCGUAA